UGGCGGCCGGCGCACGGGUGAGUAACGCGUAUCCAACCUGCCCUUUACUAUGGGACAGCCCGUCGAAAGGCGGAUUAAUACCGUAUGUUGUCAUGUUGAUGCAUAUUUUCAUGACCAAAGGCUUCGGCCGGUAAAGGAUGGGGAUGCGUCUGAUUAGCUUGCCGGCGGGGUAACGGCCCACCGGGGCGACGAUCAGUAGGGGUUCUGAGAGGAAGGUCCCCCACAUUGGAACUGAGACACGGUCCAAACUCCUACGGAAGGCAGCAG
rnacentral:rRNA from 1 species